AUUGAACGCUGGCGGCAUACCUUACACAUGCAAGUCGAACGGCAGCGCGGACUUCGGUCUGGCGGCGAGUGGCGAACGGGUGAGUAAUACAUCGGAACGUACCCUGUUGUGGGGGAUAACUAGUCGAAAGAUUAGCUAAUACCGCAUACGACCUGAGGGUGAAAGUGGGGGACCGGAAACGGCCUCAUGCAGCAGGAGCGGCCGAUGUCUGAUUAGCUAGUUGGUGGGGUAAAGGCCCACCAAGGCGACGAUCAGUAGCUGGUCUGAGAGGACGAUCAGCCACACUGGGACUGAGACACGGCCCAGACUCCUACGGGAGGCAGCAGUGGGGAAUUUUGGACAAUGGGGGCAACCCUGAUCCAGCAAUGCCGCGUGUGUGAAGAAGGCCUUCGGGUUGUAAAGCACUUUUGUCCGGAAAGAAAUCGCGCUGGUUAAUACCUGGCGUGGAUGACGGUACCGGAAGAAUAAGCACCGGCUAACUACGUG
rnacentral:rRNA from 1 species